ensembl:lncRNA
CAAAUUUGUGACUUACUCACAGCCUGAAUAUCAAAUAUAACACAGCUAUGAUGCAAUAUCCUGCUGUCAUGAGCUCGCAGAGGAAGUGUAACAGAAGACAAGACAACAACCUGAGGCACAUUUUUACGUCUAGCUGAAUACUGGUAUUUGCAAAUUAAAUAAAAAAAAUAGUGAGGCUGAAUAAGGACAUUAACCCACACCUAACUGAUCCUACCAGUACCAGGUGUUUAAGUUUUCACAACAGCGAUUAAACGAUCAAAGCCUCAAGGUCUUUUUUGUUUGAUUAGUGGCCAUGAAUAUAUUCCAUGCUGAAAGUAAUCAAGUUUUUCUGUCUGAUAACGGCCUCCCACAUAUCAAAGCUACACUAUAAUCAGUGGAUCUGGCAG